CAACGUGAGCAACCUUCCGAAAUAUGGGGGAUAGCCGGCCUAACGGCCGAGUAAUACCGCAUACGCUCUCGAUGAGGCAUUUCAUUGAGAGGAAACCUCCGGGGUAUUUCGAGGGGCUCGCGGCCUAUCAGCUAGUUGGCGAGGUAACGGCUCACCAAGGCAACGACGGGUAGCUGGUCUGAGAGGAUGGCCAGCCACAUUGGGACUGAGAUACGGCCCAG
rnacentral:rRNA from 1 species